rnacentral:tRNA from 2 species
GGGGCAGUAGCUCAGUGGAUAGAGCAGCGGUCUUCUAAACCGAAGGUCGAGAGUUCGACUCUCUCUUGCCCCGCCA